rfam:Sphingomonas panacis strain DCY99, complete genome.
CCAGAGGGUCGGGCGGCCGCGUCAUGUGCUUGCACAUGCCGAGGAAAGUCCGGGCUCCGCGAAACGACGGUGCCGGGUAACGCCCGGCGGGGGUGACCCCAGGGACAGUGCCACAGAGAGCAGACCGCCGAUGGGCUGCGCGCGAGCGUGGCGACAGGCAAGGGUGAAAGGGUGCGGCAAAAGCGCACCGCGCCUCCGGUAACGGCAGGCGGCAUGGCAAACCCCACCGGGAGCAAGACCGAAUAGGGACGGCACAUGGGCAUCGUUUCUGCUCGUCGUCCGGGUUGGUUGCUUGAGGCGGCGUGCAAGCGUCGCCCUAGAGGAAUGGUCGCCUAUCCUUCGUAAAGAGGGUGGACAGAACCCGGCUUACAGACCCUCUGGUAUC